rnacentral:lncRNA from 1 species
GUGUUUUUUCCCCACCGUGCCUGCGCACUUCACGGGCUCUUCAGUUUCCGUUCAGAACUCUACAACCUUGACAAUUUCUAAUAAGGAUGCAUCCAGUGCAGGCUUUCUCUUCGUCUCUUGAAUCCGCAUCAAGUUCAAAGACAUCUAAAACCAAAUCUAAAUACAGAGGAAAAGGCACUAGAACAUGGAUUCGUAAAUUUCCAAAAAAUAAGAAGCAAAUCUAGAUAAAAUCUAGAUAUAAAUCGAGACAACCAGAGACAAGAUCAGACCACAUAACAUGGA